rnacentral:misc_RNA from 1 species
GAUGAAGAACGUAGCGAAAUGCGAUAAGUAAUGUGAAUUGCAGAAUUCAGUGAAUCAUCGAAUCUUUGAACGCACCUUGCACCCUUUGGCAUUCUGAAGGGUAUGCUCGUUUGAGUGUCAUUGUACUCUCACACUCCCGAUCUUUGCAUUGGGAGCAGUGGACUUGGGUUUGCUGCUUCACCGUCGCUUACCUCAAAUAGGUUAGAGCAACUCUUGGUUGGACAUAGUACGGCGUGAUAAGUGUUCUUCGCCGGUGCCUCGCAAAGAGGGUGGCCGAUCGGGAUGUUGUGCUCCAAACCGUCUUCGGACAAUCUCUGACGACUUGACCUCAAAUCGAGUAAGACUACCCGCUGAACUUAAGCAUAUCAAUAAGCGGAGGA